AUCCACUCCACAGUGGCAGUAUUAUAGCCAAUGAGGGUUAUCUGAGGCACAGUAAUUGCUAAUUGAAAAGUUUUCCCAAAACUGUGUCAGACUUACAGGUUUUCAAACUAUAACAGAAAAAAACUUCUGUUG